rnacentral:tRNA from 1 species
GGAGACGUAGCUCAACGGAUAGAGCGUCUGGCUUCGGACCAGAAGGCUGCAGGUUCGAUUCCUGUCGUCUCCA